rnacentral:rRNA from 1 species
AACGAACGCUGGCGGCAUGCCUAACACAUGCAAGUCGAACGAGACCUUCGGGUCUAGUGGCGCACGGGUGCGUAACGCGUGGGAACCUGCCUUUAGGUUCGGAAUAACUCAGAGAAAUUUGAGCUAAUACCGGAUGAUGUCUUCGGACCAAAGAUUUAUCGCCUUUAGAUGGGCCCGCGUUGGAUUAGCUAGUUGGUGGGGUAAAGGCCUACCAAGGCGACGAUCCAUAGCUGGUCUGAGAGGAUGAUCAGCCACACUGGGACUGAGACACGGCCCAGACCCCGGGGGAAGAGGGCGGGGGAGAUUAUGAAAGAUGGGGAAAAGGCCUGAUCCACCAUUGCCGGUUAGUUGAUGAAGCCCUUAGGGUUAAAAACCUUUUUAACCCGAUAUUAAAAUGACAUUAACAGAAAAUAAACCUCCGGCAAACUCCGUC